UACAGAGAGUGCGAACGUUGUUCGGAAUCACUGGGCAUAAAGCGCACGUAGGCUGCGCCGCAAGUGCGGGUGAAAUCCCACGGCUUACCCGUGGAACUGCCUUGCAGACUGUGGUGCUAGAGGAUGGUAGGGGAGAGCGGAACUCCUGGUGGAGCGGUGAAAUGCGUAGAGAUCAGGAGGAACACCGGUGGCGAAGGCGGCUCUCUGGUCCAUUUCUGACGCUGAGGUGCGAAAGCUAGGGGGAGCAAAC
rnacentral:rRNA from 1 species